rnacentral:rRNA from 1 species
AACGAACGCUGGCGGCAGGCUUAACACAUGCAAGUCGAACGGGCGUAGCAAUACGUCAGUGGCAGACGGGUGAGUAACACGUGGGAACCUUCCUCGUUGUACGGAACAACUCAGGGAAACUUGAGCUAAUACCGUAUACGUCCGAGAGGAGAAAGAUUUAUCGCAAUGAGACGGGCCCGCGUCGGAUUAGGUAGUUGGUGGGGUAACGGCCUACCAAGCCGACGAUCCGUAGCUGAUCUGAGAGGAUGAUCAGCCACACUGGGACUGAGACACGGCCCAGACUCCUACGGGAGGCAGCAGUGGGGAAUCUUGGACAAUGGGCGCAAGCCUGAUCCAGCCAUGCCGCGUGAGUGAAGAAGGCCUUAGGGUUGUAAAGCUCUUUUACCAGGGACGAUAAUGACGGUACCUGGAGAAUAAGCCCCGGCAAACUUCGUGCCAGCCCCGCCGUAACAC